rnacentral:rRNA from 1 species
GACCUCCGAUCAAGCAGAAGCACUCACUGAAUUUAUA